CUCCUCGCUCAGGUGCGGGGCACAUGGAAUGGGAUGAAUGAAUAGUGGUGCGUCCCUUCCCAGCUCCCUCGUGCUGGAAGGGACAGCGCUGUCACAGUCACCAUGUGGUGACAGGGACAGGAGGCAUCUCCUGCUCCUGUGUGAGCAUCCUGAACCUUUCCUGGAAGAGAAAAGCCUGUGGGAAUGUCAGCACAGCCUCGGUGCCAUGUGGGAUGUCACGGACACGUCAGAGCCGCCCCCCAGGGCUGACAGCGAGUGCCAGCCCCGGCCCUGGGGUGUGAAACCCCCCCGGGUGUGACACAGGUGACACCCCGGGGAGCUGCCAGGACACGCAGCCUUGAGGCAGAUGUUUGAUCCCAACAUCUGGGCUGAGCAGCGAUAACGCCGGAGGAGCGGGGUGUGGGAGCAGCCGCGCUCCGAGAAUCCCCG
rnacentral:lncRNA from 12 species